CAGCCUGCUCAGAAGGAAAACACAGGCUGGAUAUGGAAACACUGGAAUGCUGCAGAUGCAGACCGAAGGAAAAUGCUUAUUAAAAAGCAGGGGAGAGCUUCCAAUAUGGAGAGCACUGGAACCUGUUGCUGAUGUAUGAAGAUCCCCCUUCUCCUGCCUCCAACUUUGACACUUUUUUCUGAGCCUUUUGUUGAUACCUGGAAGGGAAAGAAGAGAAAGGGAGGGAUCCCUGGGACUCAAGCAACCCUUGCUGGCUAAUUGGAUAGCUGGUUCAGUGCCCUGCAGGAGCCUUGCAGUGUUGUGUGCCAUCCUCCUGCUGCCCAGGGAGCGUGGUGCAUCAUCUGCCUCCCCGGGCUGGGUCUGGCCAGGCAGGAGCCUUCCCUCUGAGGCUGUGCUCUGCAGGAGAGCUGGGAGAUGAUGCUGGCUGAAGGCCAGGCAGCAGAGAUAAAAAACCCAACAAAACCCAAGCAAAACCCGAGCAAAACAGCUCUAAAGAGAAGAAACACGCAAUGCUUGUUAUUAGGAGGACAAAACUCCCACUCCUCAGUACAGACCAAGCCUUGGCUGUAAUAUCUGCUAUCAUCUGUCAGUCUUUGCAUAAUCAGAUGGUCCUUCUGCUCCCUAGUGCCCAUGUCGGCUGCUCUGACACGUGUGGUUGGAGGACUGGCAAUGACCAGAGGGCUCCACUAACACCUUGCUUCCUUCUCUCAUCUCCAGCCAUGAAGAUGAGAGAUUAAUUCUCAGCUGUGAUAGUCAUUGUCUUCUUGUGCAGGUUCAUCAGGUGCAACACAGACUCAGGCUUGUCUGAACCUUGAUGAUAAGCUCUCCUUGUUAAAAGCCAUUGUAUUUGCUACUAGCUGAGUGUAAUUCUGACUGCCUACUGCAGUUCUCCUUUGCAUGUAAUUGAAUUCAUAUUCAUCAUAAAGCAAUGAAAAAUAAA